rnacentral:rRNA from 1 species
UACGUAGGGGGCUAGCGUUGUCCGGAUUUAUUGGGCGUAAAGAGCGUGUAGGCGGCCAGGUAGGUCUGCUGUGAAAACUCGAGGCUCAACCUCGAGACGUCGGCGGAAACCAUCUGGCUAGAGUCCGGAAGAGGAGAGUGGAAUUCCUGGUGUAGCGGUGAAAUGCGCAGAUAUCAGGAAGAACACCCGUGGCGAAGGCGGCUCGCUGGGACGGUACUGACGCUGAGGCGCGAAAGCGUGGGGAGCGAACAGG